AGCAGCCGCGGUAAUUCCAGCUCCAAUAGCGUAUAUUAAAGUUGUUGCAGUUAAAAAGCUCGUAGUUGAAUUUCGGGGUUAGCAGGUCGGUCGUGCCAUCGGUAUGAACUGGUCUCGCUGAUCCCUCCCUCUUGACGAACUGUGAUGCCAUUAAUUUGGUGUCGCAGGGAAUCAGGACUGUUACUUUGAAAAAAUUAGAGUGUUUAAAGCAGGCUCACGCUUGAAUACAUUAGCAUGGAAUAAUGAAAUAGGACGUUUGAUCCUAUUUUGUUGGUUUCUAGGAUUGACGUAAUGAUUAAUAGGGAUAGUUGGGGGCAUUAGUAUUCAAUUGUCAGAGGUGAAAUUCUUGGAUUUAUUGAAGACUAACUACUGCGAAAGCAUUUGCCAAGGAUGUUUUCAUUAAUCAAGAACGAAAGUUAGGGGAUCGAAGACGAUCAGAUACCGUCGUAGUCUUAACCAUAAACUAUGCCGACUAGGGAUCGGAUGAUGUUAAUUUUUUAAUGACUCAUUCGGCGCCUUA
rnacentral:misc_RNA from 2 species